UACGUAGGUCCCGAGCGUUGUCCGGAUUUAUUGGGCGUAAAGCGAGCGCAGGUGGUUUAUUAAGUCUGGUGUAAAAGGCAGUGGCUCAACCAUUGUAUGCAUUGGAAACUGGUAGACUUGAGUGCUGGAGAGGAGAGUGGAAUUCCAUGUGUAGCGGUGAAAUGCGUAGAUAUAUGGAGGAACACCGGUGGCGAAAGCGGCUCUCUGGCCUGUAACUGACACUGAGGCUCGAAAGCGUGGGGAGCAAACAGG
rnacentral:rRNA from 1 species